rnacentral:lncRNA from 1 species
CAAAUGGGGGUGUCAUUUAUCUAUGCCAACCCGACUGCCCUCUGCCCUCCCUCCAGUGCUCUUUGCCCUCACCCAGUAACCUAAUUUGCAUUUGAAAAAGAGCAGCGGUUGCAAUAGCACCUUGAGUUCCAGCCUUCAGCCAGCCUGGAGAGUGCAUCAGGAAUUUGGGUGGUCAUCUGCUGGGAAUCAGCAGUAUGCAGAAGACAGCAGGAGCAUACCUCACCCAACAGCGCCUCAGAUGAAGAAGAUCCUGCGGCAUCCCUGGUAUCCAUGGCCUUUCAUUGCUCCUGGAAUUCUUGCUCCUUUUUGAGUGAGUGUGCUUUGUUCGUUUCAUAAUUGGACUCUUAAUUCAGCAAUAGCUCUGGCCAGUUGCUAUUAAUGAUCACUUUGCUCUCCUCUUCCCAUAGCAAUUAUUAAUUAAACUGCUCAGAGAGUCAUAAUGAGAAAUUAAAGACUGUAAUAAUAUUUUAGGAAGCAGUAUCCCAUGAUCUUGGAGGCCUAUAUUCUGUUCCAAAGGCAGAGCAGAGUUUGUUUAAUUCACAAACAUUUACUGAGUCCCCUUUAGGUAGAAGGCCCCAUUCAGUUUCCAGGCAUACACCAAGGAUGGCAUCUGCUCUAGGGAGGAGCUGAAGGUCAUGGUGUGGAGUGUUUUUUGAUCCAAGUCUUAACUCUUAUUGAUUCUCCUUUCUCAACUUGUACCCUUCCAUCGAGAAUCAGUUCCAACUUUCCCUUCUACUUUCAUUACCUACCGUUCCCUCCCACAACCUUAAGAAGCCCUCAGGUUAAUUGCUCCUUUUCUGAGUUCCUGUGAUAACUUUGUAUAAAUCUCUAUUAUAGAACUAAUAUUUUUAUCAUCAUUAAAAAAAUAAAAAACAAC